AUAGCGGGGUUCUACGGCAGUUGAUGAUGAAUCCGCCAGGUUCGGAAGGAAGCAACGGUAAGUCAACCCAACUGGGUGCUAGUUCUCCUGCUGUAAG
rnacentral:SRP_RNA from 1 species